GCGCUCCCGCUCCCAGGUCCGGGAGGAAAUGGGAGCAGUGUUUGUUCAAAUGUAAAUGUGUGAGCUGCGGUGGAAGAGAAGUAGGGGGCGGUCAAGGCCGCGUGACUCCAGGCCGAGGUCGCUCUGGGAGCCAGGAGAGCUUGGGGCCGUAGAAGAAUGCGGUGACUCCAGGAGUGCGCCGCGUUUCCACGGGAGAGGAGCGCGCAGGGUGUCCAGCACGCAGGUUCUAAUAUUGCAUUUACUGGAUGUAGAAACGAAAGCUCACGGAAGCUUUUUGACUUCUCCAAGGCCACACAGCUUAGAGGGGAGAACCGAGGUUCAGAUCCAGACGGUCCGGCUCCAGAAACCACACACUUGACUGCUCCGCCAUACACUCCCCAGCUGAGAGGAGAAGCUGAAUUUUAGAGCCACCCUUGCAUUUUACAGCUAAAGAGAUGAAGCCCAGGGAGAGAGAGUGAUUUCUGCCUUCGACUGCCCGGCUUCGGGGACCCCGGGCCCACUCCGGGCCCCCCGGGCCCAGACCUGGGCCCUGCAGCAGCAGCAGAGCCGAGAAGAGGAGCGGCCGCAGCAGCGCCAGGGUGAGCCCCUAGGAGCGUCCCCUGCUCCGCGGCUGGGGAGUGAGAGGGAAACACCGGGCUUGGGGGAGACACGAGGCCAGCCUCUGGUGGCGGAAGGAAGGGAAGCCCUGUAGAGCCCUGUUGAGGAUGCCCCUGCGCGCCACCUCCCCCCCCAC